CUAUAAUUAUCAUUUAACUUAAUAAAUAUUCUAUUUAAAUUUGACACUUCUUUUAUUUUAUUAUUUUCCAUAUAUGUAGUUUUUAUAUAUUCUCCUCUUUUCAUAAUUCUUCUUUUAUUUUUUCAGUAGUUACUGGUACUUUAAUUGGCAUCCAUCCUAAUCCUGGUAUAUUGACAUAACCAGCUUUAUUUAUAGGUUCUUUUUCUUUUUUAUUUUCUUGUAAUAUUCUUAACUUUAUAUUUUUAAUUUCUGUUUCUAUAUUUU
rnacentral:lncRNA from 1 species